GGCUCAGGAUGAACGCUAGCGACAGGCUUAACACAUGCAAGUCGAGGGGCAGCACAGGUAGCAAUACUGGGUGGCGACCGGCGCACGGGUGCGUAACGCGUAUGCAACCUACCUAUAAUAGGGGGAUAGCCUUCUGAAAGGGAGAUUAAGACCGCAUAAUACAACUGAAUCGCAUGGAUUAGUUGUAAAAUAUUUAUAGAUUAUAGAUGGGCAUGCGUCUGAUUAGAUAGUUGGAGAGGUAACGGCUCACCAAGUCAACGAUCAGUAGGGGUUCUGAGAGGAAGGUCCCCCACACCGGAACUGAGACACGGUCCGGACUCCUACGGGAGGCAGCAGUGAGGAAUAUUGGUCAAUGGGCGAGAGCCUGAACCAGCCAAGUCGCGUGAAGGAAGAAGGUCUUAUGGAUUGUAAACUUCUUUUAUAGGGGAAUAAAGAUGAGUACGUGUACUCAGUUGUAGGUACCCUAAGAAUAAGGAUCGGCUAACUCCGUGCCAGCAGCCGCGGUAAUACGGAGGAUCCGAGCGUUAUCCGGAUUUAUUGGGUUUAAAGGGUGCGUAGGCGGGUUGAUAAGUCAGUGGUGAAAGGUUUGCGCUCAACGUAGACAUUGCCAUUGAAACUGUCAGUCUUGAGUACAAAUGAGGUAGGCGGAAUGUGUUGUGUAGCGGUGAAAUGCAUAGAUAUGACACAGAACACCAAUUGCGAAGGCAGCUUACUGGGAUGUAACUGACGCUGAG
rnacentral:rRNA from 1 species